AUUGAACGCUGGCGGCAGGCUUAACACAUGCAAGUCGAGCGGGGGAAGGUAGCUUGCUACUGGACCUAGCGGCGGACGGGUGAGUAAUGCUUAGGAAUCUGCCUAUUAGUGGGGGACAACAUCUCGAAAGGGAUGCUAAUACCGCAUACGUCCCACGGGAGAAAGCAGGGGAUCUUCGGACCUUGCGCUAAUAGAUGAGCCUAAGUCGGAUUAGCUAGUUGGUGGGGUAAAGGCCUACCAAGGCGACGAUCUGUAGCGGGUCUGAGAGGAUGAUCCGCCACACUGGGACUGAGACACGGCCCAGACUCCUACGGGAGGCAGCAGUGGGGAAUAUUGGACAAUGGGGGGAACCCUGAUCCAGCCAUGCCGCGUGUGUGAAGAAGGCCUUAUGGUUGUAAAGCACUUUAAGCGAGGAGGAGGCUACUCUAGUUAAUACCUAGGGAUAGUGGACGUUACUCGCAGAAUAAGCACCGGCUAACUCUGUGCCAGCAGCCGCGGUAA
rnacentral:rRNA from 1 species